rnacentral:rRNA from 1 species
CUGGCUCAGGAUGAACGCUAGCUACAGGCUUAACACAUGCAAGUCGAGGGGCAGCGAGAGGAAGCUUGCUUCCUGUCGGCGACCGGCGCACGGGUGAGUAACGCGUAUCCAACCUUCCCCAUAGUAGAGGAUAGCCCGGCGAAAGUCGGAUUAAUACUCUAUGUUGUGUCAUGAGGACAUCUGAAUAACACUAAAGAUUUAUCGCUAUGGGAUGGGGAUGCGUCUGAUUAGCUUGUCGGCGGGGUAACGGCCCACCGAGGCGACGAUCAGUAGGGUUCUGAGAGGAAGGUCCCCCACAUUGGUACUGAGACACGGACCAAACUCCUACGGGAGGCAGCAGUGAGGAAUAUUGGUCAAUGGACGAGAGUCUGAACCAGCCAAGUAGCGUGCCAGGAUGACUGCCCUAUGGGUUGUAAACUGCUUUUAUGCGGGAAUAAAGUCAGGUACGUGUACCUGUUUGUAUGUACCGCAUGAAUAAGGACCGGCUAAUUCCGUGCCAGCCGCGGC